GCACGACACAGAAAAGAAAGAACACUUACGGUCACUGGGAAUUAAUCCAUGGCAGAGGAGAUUGAAGAGCAGAUUUUUCAAGACUCUAACAUAAUUUGUCCAUUUAUCAUCGCUGAAUGUGAUUCAGCCCCUCUCUUCCCCAAGGAUGAGGAGAACCCCUUAGUAUGGAUUUCACCACUUGUAAGUCAAACCCUUGUACGGGUCAACACUAAUGAAGGCAUCGAUGUAUCCCCUUGCAAUGCAACCAUACAAGAUGGCAAGACUGUUCUGCUAGUAAGCUGAUAUCUAGGGAAUUAAUGUGCAGACCUGAGCCAUAUUUACUCCAACCAUUUAGGCCUGUCACUGGAGGUGUGAUAAACUGCAAAGUUUGUGACUAGAGGUGUGCCGAGCUGCAUUACCCAUGACUG